rnacentral:tRNA from 1 species
AUUUAAAUAGUUUAAAUAAAACAUUGAUAUGUGAAAUCAAAAAUACAAAAAAUUUUAAAUA